AACACUGUUAACCUGCGGUACCUGCGGAAGGAUCAUUAUUGAAAUAAAUUUGGUUGGGUUGUUGCUGGCUUCCAACUUGGAGCAUGUGCACACCUAAUCUAUAUUUCUAACCACCUGUGAACCUGUGUAGAACUUGAAACAACUUUCAAGCAGUAAUAAUAACUUUUGCUUGGAUUGAGAAUUGCUGAGAUCAGCUUUUCUCAAUGUUUCCAGAUCUAUGUGAUUAUAAUACACCAAUAA
rnacentral:misc_RNA from 1 species